rnacentral:rRNA from 1 species
AGCAGCCGCGGUAAUUCCAGCUCCAAUAGCGUAUAUUAAAGUUGUUGCAGUUAAAAAGCUCGUAGUUGAAUUUCGGGGUUAGUAGGUUGGUCAUGCCUCUGGUAUGUACUGGUCUCACUGAUUCCUCCUUCCUGAUGAGCCGUAAUGCCAUUAAUUUGGUGUUGCGGGGAAUCUGGACUGUUACUUUGAAAAAAUUAGAGUGUUUAAAGCAGGCUCACGCUUGAAUACAUUAGCAUGGAAUAAUGAAAUAGGACGUUUGAUUCUAUUUUGUUGGUUUCUAGGAUCGACGUAAUGAUUAAUAGGGAUAGUUGGGGGCAUUAGUAUUCAAUUGUCAGAGGUGAAAUUCUUGGAUUUAUUGAAGACUAACUACUGCGAAAGCAUUUGCCAAGGAUGUUUUCAUUAAUCAAGAACGAAAGUUAGGGGAUCGAAGACGAUCAGAUACCGUCGUAG